GUCCAGCUGACGAGCCUAAAACAGGACGAAACGCGCAUCCUGAAU
rnacentral:hammerhead_ribozyme from 1 species